UCCGAUUUGUCACCGGCAGUCUCCUAUGAGUCCCCGUCUUUCACGCUGGCAACAUAGGACAGGGGUUGCGCUCGUUGCGGGACUUAACCCAACGUCUCACGACACGAGCUGACGACAGCCAUGCAGCACCUCUGCUGGUGACCGAUUUGACGGUUCGCCCCGACUUUCAUCAGGACUACUUCCAGUAGUUCAAGCCUAGG
rnacentral:misc_RNA from 1 species